UUAUGGCGUUCCUGGAAUCCGCCUUCAUAAAAAUUAAGCAAUCAUCUGCGAAUAGGAGAUGGGGAAUCCACGGGGCAGAGUUGCUCACUCGGAUCCCCCUAUCAAUCCAUCCACCCUCAAACACUUGUACGGGCAAUGUCUUCCCAAAGACAUGGAGGGGCCGCCGCUGUAUUACAGAGGGCGGUGUCAUGGUCCAACUACCUGGUGGUGCAGGUGCCAUAAUCCAGGGCGGCGGCGAGGAGCUCUUUAGGGCCGACCUGUCAAAGUUGUAGAUCUGGGCUGGGUUCGCGGAGCGGCACAGCCGUGUCUACUCCGGCCGGUACGCCAGUCUCAACAUCGCCAUAAAGAUGGCUAGCCAGCCCUAGCAGGAUGCCGCCAAGCUGAAGCACCCGUUCGCCUGCGAGGUCGCCCGACGCCUUCGCCACCACAUCCUCGUACGUGCUACAAUCCUCUUUUUUCCUCUGCCGCCACCUCAUCCGCUCCGUCAAUCUCACCUGAUCCACCACCGCAGGUACUGCUACAGGGACAGAUCCAUGUGUUUUUGCUGGAUCCUCUGAUUCUAGGCUAUUUUUCCUAUCAGUACUACAACAUCUGUACUAGGUUGUCCGCCAUAGUGUUGUAGAUCACGGCAGGCCCAACCAGCCGCUACUCCUUUCUAGGCAUUUUAGUUAAUCUUAUGCUUGCCUCUAUUAAUUUCCUAUAUCCGGUACUCAUGUUCACCAUGUGAAAGUUGUUGCUAGUCAUCUUUUUUCUUUGAUUUGGAUAUAUGCAAUUGUGUCUGUGUGUGUUAACUUGAGAAGAAUAUUUACAUCCUAUUUUACUAACAAAUUUCUUUGUUGUGAUGCAUUAUGUUUUUGAUAUUCUUGCUGCUAGCAGUUCGGUAAUUAAUAAAGAUUAGACAGUGAAAUUAAUCAUCACACACUUGUUCAAUCAGUUGUCAUAUUAUCUCAGAUAUAUCUUAGCUAUGAUCAUUUUAUCAAAGAGCAUUGCUUACAAGAUCGUUGAAUAUAGACUCGAUGAAGUUUCUAGAUGCACUAGAGGAAGAAGUCAGCACUAGUGUCAAUCUGUGGCAUCAUGAUUAAAUCGAGGAUAGAAACAAAAAAUCCCCUUAUUAGUUUUAUGAAUCCUUAUUGAUUUCGUUGUCACACUUUGUACCAAAGGAAUAAGCCCCACAUGCAUCACUCCAUAAAUUUAUUCCAUAUUCCUUAAAUUCAGCCGCACUCAUAGGUUUGUAAUUUGUUGGAAUUUCGCCCUCUGGAAUCGAUCGCAUCAAAACACAAUGAACACAUGCGCACAAAAAAUUGAUAGCCAAGGCCCUUGUCGUGCCCUUAUUUCCUCUUUAUUUCUUUUCUUCUUUUCUCUAGGUACAAAACUCAUGCACCCUGCCCCUAUAUAUUGGUGCAGGACCUGAACUGACUCAUGCCACCGACCCAGACUCCUUUUUCCUAACCUAUACAGACUUCAAUUACAAACCAGACUCGGUGUGCAAGGCAACUCCAGCCGAACAGAACACGAACACCUAUAGACGUACUACUACUCAAGCACAUGUAUAGGACUAGCACCGACCUUGGACUUACCUAAUCCUAAUUACACGGCAGCGCUGAUCACUUUCUAGUUAAAUCAAACUCAAACACAAUUUAAUACUUCUAGCAUGUAGGCAUGUUUGGAUUAUCCAACAUAAUUUUCAACAUCUGUGUAUGCAUGUUGUGAUCUUAACAACACGUCUUAUUUUCUUUCUCCAGGCUGAUUGUAUUACACUAUAACUUGUUAUGGUGACAAGGGUAUUUAUCUUCAGGGAACGACCAUGAUAUAUAUAGAGGCUUCUGUAGAAAGAGGAGGCCGCUUCAUGAUUCCCCUAUGCUUCUUUGACAUAACCUCCACAGAGCAAAGAUUUGAGUUGCUCGAUUUAACCUAUUCUGUACUAUGCCUUGGUUGUAUAUAAGCUAUAUUUCUCCCGUACACCCUAAAUAUAGAACUUUGUUAUAAUUUAAUAAAUGAGUAUGUGUGGGUUUAUGCAGUUUCUUAUCUGAACAAGCGGUGUAUAUUCAGAACUGAAGAUGCAGGGAAUUUACGAGAAAUAGAAUGUCAUCAGUUUACAAAGAAAAUGUUAAGUCUCGAAGUCUUUAUGUUUCCACUUCAUAGCAUGGUGAUGACUCUUUCUCUAAUGUAUAUUAUUUUGUUUCUUUACAGAGUAAUGGUACUGACGUUGUAAGUAUAUGCACUUCCCACCUCUACAUGUUGGUCUUUUAAAUAGAAAAUUAGUCUAGAAUGGUAAAAAUAUAUUAUGAUAUUUUAUAUAGUUUUAACCUGAUGCAAGAUGCAAAAUUUAUGUAUUAUACAAAUAUAGGUUGCAUAAUCUGCAAUGUUAUUUAAUAAACUCGUGUUGAAAAAGUUUGUUAUUCAGAUUAAUAUGAUUAGGACCACAUCUCUAUAAAUUAAGGUAAAUAACAUUUGGCGGCUUGUAUCACUGUACCAAUUUUAAGUACGUCCAAAUUUAGCCUCGUGUUCAUUAUUUUAUCUGGACAUGGAAGUAUUUUUGAAUUUUUGGAAUCUUGCAUUUAUUUGUAUUUUCUACAGAACUGCAGAUCUUUCUUAGCAAACAAAGGAUAUGUGGUAUGUCAGCACAUGAUUUUAUUCAAGAGAGGUUUUAUCAUCGGAAAUAAAUGAUCAAAGUAUUUGUCAGGUGUUGACUAGUACUCUCCUCUUAUGUGUACAGAGCUACUGAUGCCACGGCCUUGAACCUUUAUUGCAAGAUAAACAGAUGAUGCAUGGCUCAGAUGUUGAUUGUAAGGUCAAGAAUGGGGAUGGUAGUUAGAUAAUUAGAAUGCCAUUUUCAGGGUCAAUGUUUCAAACAUUGUGUUUUAGAAUGGCUGAUAAGUAUUGAUUGCAAGGUCAAGAAUUGCCUACUAGUACUAGGUAGUUUCACAUCUUGUAAACUUUGGAUCAUGUUCUUUGUAAUGAAAGAUAUUCGAUUAAAUAUAUGAGACAUUUUUGCUCAUUA